UGGGGAAUUUUGGACAAUGGGGGAAACCCUGAUCCAGCCAUCCCGCGUGUGCGAUGAAGGCCUUCGGGUUGUAAAGCACUUUUGGCAGGAAAGAAACGUCGCGGGUUAAUACCCCGCGAAACUGACGGUACCUGCAGAAUAAGCACCGGCUAACUACGUGCCAGCAGCCGCGGUAAUACGUAGGGUGCAAGCGUUAAUCGGAAUUACUGGGCGUAAAGCGUGCGCAGGCGGUUCGGAAAGAAAGAUGUGAAAUCCCAGAACUUAACUUUGGAACUGCAUUUUUAACUACCGGGCUAGAGUGUGUCAGAGGGAGGUGGAAUUCCGCGUGUAGCAGUGAAAUGCGUAGAUAUGCGGAGGAACACCGAUGGCGAAGGCAGCCUCCUGGGAUAACACUGACGCUCAUGCACGAAAGCGUGGGGAGCAAACAGGAUUAGAUACCCUGGUAGUCCACGCCCUAAACGAUGUCAACUAGCUGUUGGGGCCUUCGGGCCUUGGUAGCGCAGCUAACGCGUGAAGUUGACCGCCUGGGGAGUACGGUCGCAAGAUUAAAACUCAAAUGAAUUGACGGGG
rnacentral:rRNA from 1 species